GACCGAGUGCCGCUCACGCCCGGUC
rnacentral:siRNA from 1 species